AAAUUGAAGAGUUUGAUCAUGGCUCAGAUUGAACGCUGGCGGCAGGCCUAACACAUGCAAGUCGAACGGUAACAGGAAGCAGCUUGCUGCUUCGCUGACGAGUGGCGGACGGGUGAGUAAUGUCUGGGAAACUGCCUGAUGGAGGGGGAUAACUACUGGAAACGGUGGCUAAUACCGCAUAACGUCGCAAGACCAAAGAGGGGGACCUUCGGGCCUCUUGCCAUCAGAUGUGUCCAGAUGGG
rnacentral:rRNA from 1 species